rnacentral:rRNA from 1 species
AGGGCAAGUCUGGUGCCAGCAGCCGCGGUAAUUCCAGCUCCAAUAGCGUAUAUUAAAGUUGUUGCAGUUAAAAAGCUCGUAGUUGAAUUUCGGGGUUCUACCGUUGGUCGGGCUUUGUCUGUACUGGCGUGUAGAAUUUCUACCUUCUGGGGAACCAUUAUGUUAUUAAUUUAGCGUAGUGGGAAACCAGGACCUUUACCUUGAAAAAAUUAGAGUGUUCAAAGCAGGCUUAUGUCUGAAUACAUUAGCAUGGAAUAAUAGAAUAGGACGGUGGUCCUGUUUUGUUGGUUUCUGAAUCACCGUAAUGAUUAAUAGGGAUAGUUGGGGGCAUUAGUAUUCAAUUGUCAGAGGUGAAAUUCUUGGAUUUAUUGAAGACUAACUUCUGCGAAAGCAUUUGCCAAGGAUGUUUCCAUUAAUCAAGAACGAAAGUUAGGGGAUCGAAGACGAUCAGAUACCGUCGUAGUCUUAACCAUAAACUAUGCCGACUAGGGAUCGGACGAUGUUAAUUUUUCUUGACUCGUUCGGCGCCUUACGGGAA